GAUGAACGCUGGCGGCGUGCCUAAUACAUGCAAGUCGAGCGAAUGGAUUAAGAGCUUGCUCUUAUGAAGUUAGCGGUGGACGGGUGAGUAACACGUGGGUAACCUGCCCAUAAGACUAGGAUAACUCAGGGAAACCGGGGCUAAUACCGGAUACCAUUUUGAACCGCAUGGUUCGAAAUUGAAAGGAGGCUUCGGCUCUCACUUAUGGAUGGACCCGCGUCGCAUUAGCGAGUUGGUGAGGUAACGGCUCACCAAGGCAACGAUGCGUAGCCGACCUGAGAGGGUGAUCGGCCACACUGGGACUGAGACACGGCCCAGACUCCUACGGGAGGCAGCAGUAGGGAAUCUUCCGCAAUGGACGAAAGUCUGACGGAGCAACGCCGCGUGAGUGAUGAAGGCUUUCGGGUCGUAAAACUCUGUUGUUAGGGAAGAACAAGUGCUAGUUGAAUAAGCUGGCACCUUGACGGUACCUAACCAGAAAGCCACGGCUAACUACGUGCCAGCCGCCGCAGUAA
rnacentral:rRNA from 1 species